UCGUCGCACCCGGCGUCCGUGCGUGCGUGACUGAUGUAAACAAGCGACGUCGUCGUCGCCGUUGCUGCUGCAAAUCGCACACAUUCGUCGCAUCAGCAGCUCGGAACGCUCAGAUGUUAAUUGAAGUAAUAUGCCUUCUUACAAGUUGCGCAACUUCUUACAAGUUGCGCAAUCUUCCUUACUUCGAGCACGGCUACUUUACCAAAUGGCAUAGCUGAAAAAUGAUUUUAAGCAACGUGAAUGCAACAUAUUGUUAGAAUAAGAUUUGUAGUAUAGAACCUAUCUGAGUUGUUAUUAUAUAUAAAUGUGUUAUUGUGAUAACACAAAUGCAGCAAUUGUAUCUAUACAUUUUCAUUAAAAAUCUUUUGAUAAUUAAUAAUUAUAGUUAAAAUUAAGACUAAAAUUAUUUUUGUGUUUGUAAAUUUGAAUUUGGCUGAUGUAAACAAAUUUUUUUCAGGAACAAUUAUGAGCCCGAUUAAAUAACUAUGACAAGCUUUAUAGAAUUCUUAUUAACAUUAAUCCAAUGUACGUACUCGGUUUAAGUUUUGGUCAAUCAUUUUAUCGAUACGUUCAUCCACAAACUAACUCAAUCCCAGCCUAAUUCAACAAGAAGCGAAUUGGCUCAGCCAAUGCUGCGAGAUGGAAAUAAGUCAACUCGUAAGAAGGCAUAUUACUGGAAGAAAAAGCAAUUAUUAUCUUUCUUACUACUAUCGUAAUAAUUUCAGCAAUAUUUCAAUAGAUAAUAAUAAUUUUAAAUAUUUAAUCUCGAAAACAUGUUGCUUGUUGAGACGAGCUUUAUAAAUUUAUUGUCUAUUAAUAUUUUUAACUCUUUACAUACAAAUUAAAUUUUGUUAUUUUUUUUCUUAAAUUGAAAUUUAUGAAAGAACACAAAAUCACAAAAGAAAAAAUAUAUAGCUCUAGGUUUCCACAUAAACCUUAUUUGUUACUUCAUGUAAACUUAAUUUACAAAUAAAACGUUAAUUUUAUUUGAUAAUUCAUGUUAUAAUUAUAUCUUGAAUAAUUUAAUUUAGAAAAGAUUUAAAUUCUUUUAAUUAUUUCUAGAUCGUCUAAACAUUCAAAAUCGAUUUUAUUUUUUAGAUAAUUGAACAUGUCACAAAAAACUAUCUUAUAAUUAGUUUGCAGGAGACGAUCUACUUCUAAAAAAAUUGUCUUUAAUAUCGGUAUUUCAAUCAAAGGAUCCACGGCCAUCCCUCAAGUCAAUAAAGUGUGCAUUGCUUAACAGUUUUUAAUUUAUUUAUUCAAUAGUCUUGCGUAUAUUACAAAUAAAGCGCCGACUAUUACACGGUAAUCACAUAUUUUAAGGAAGAGCACGUACAUUUUACGCCAUUUACAUUGUUCGCUAUUGUUUGAUUAAUAUUCAGCGUGUCUCUGUUUAAGUCGCCGAAGGGAAAUCAGGCGCGGAAACAUGUCCAACUCGUUCGCGCUCGGAUCAAAUUCCGUACAAUCCUCUUCCUCUCGAUCAUUUCGUCCGCAUAGUUUCCGGAUAUAUGAGCAACAACUGUUUCCUUACGAGGGAAACACUGACGUUUUCGUGGUGCCUCAGCCUCACACGGCCGAUUAAUCUCCCCUUUUUGUUUCCUACGUCUUAAAGAUGAGCUUGAGUUAGCAGCAAAAACGCAUUAUGUACAAUGUCAGCAGAGUUACGGACUUCUUCGGAUUUCUUCUCGCAUUAUUUAAAAAAAUUAAAUGCUCCUCAAAGAACACAUUUGCGAGUUCACUCGUUUUGCUUUAUGUUCUUACAUUGUCGUGUAUGUAUACGCGAUACAAGCCUUAAUUGUACUCGCUCACGAUUUCAUACCAACGCCUUAAAUUUUAAUAUAACGCGUCCGUUGCAUAUAUUUAUUUAUAUAUAUUCUUUUUUUAUUUUACCCCUUAUAUAAAUACACAUUUUGUUCUCUUUGUGAACAUAGGAGCUUCCUUGAGUCAACGCAUUUGCUGUCUGCCUGUGUUAGAAUAUUAUUUUAUAUUUCAUAUAUAAAAAGACAAUAAAACUGCAGUCAGACCGAUCCUGUCAAGCGCGAAACUCAGGGAGAGAAAAAGAGAGAGAGAGAUAGAGAGAAGUAGUUAGGAAAAAAUUAGGUCCGUAAGAUCGUCGUUGUUGCACGUGUGCAUAACAAUGUUGUAAUAAGUAAGCUGGCCCUUUAUUGCAUGAAACCCAACUGAAAAUGGAGAUGAAUCAAAUAAGACAGAGACUCUUCUUUAUUUACAUAGGAAUUUUCACGAGUACGAGUUAUAAGAUCUCAUCGUACGCCACAAUAUCCUAAUAAUAAGAAUAUUUUCCUAUCAUUACACAUAUAUGCAUAUGUAUAUAUACAUGUAUAUAAACACGUAUGUAGGCUGAUUUGUCUCUAUUGCUCUUCAAGAAAAUUCAGUACCUCCUUGCUUGAGCACAGAAUGAAAGGAAAAAUUAUUACGCGUUAUAUUAUAAUUAUUACUGAAGUAAAGAGUGUAAAAGCUAAAUCUUGAAUAUAAAGAUACGAAUUAAAAAUAACUGUAAAGUUAAAAUGGCAUGAUUUUUCAAUAAUAGUUCGAAUACAUCAAGACAUCACGAUAAGAAGAUCGCUCAUACAUGUAUAUUAUGUAUAUAUGUGUAUAUACACAACAUAUAUUCCUCUUUAUUAAAUAAUAUAACGUCAAUGUAUUUCCUAUUGUAGCAUCAUAUACGAUUCCCUUACAGCAAUAAUUUUGCAAUUUUUUUCUACUACAUCUUAAAGAUUUUUUCUGUAUGUAGAAUAUUUAUCUUCGAGAUAAAUGAAUAAUUAAAAAAAUAACGUAUAAUUUUCGUAAUUAAUGGUUGAAAAGUACACAAUAGCAGUAUAUAACUUAUAUAUUAUAUAUAUAUAAUUCUCGUCUAAAAUUAUGAGUAUUGCCGUAUAAGUUUCCAAACCUACUGAGCUACGUUUUACAAUUUUUCUAUUUGCUUAUUUUGGAAUCGAUUUUCUACAAAAGAUUAAAUAAUCCAUAAAAGAUGUAGAGAUCUAAAGUCUGUAAAUUAUAAUCGUAAAUUUUGGAAAGAAAAUAUAUAUAUUUAUAUAGGUACUGAAAAAUGGUUUCUUUAUAGUAAGAGGAGAAGGGACGUUAGUGAUUAUAAUUGAAAAAUAUAGAUCUAUAAUUAUUGGUAGGAUGUAAUGUAUUGAAGAAUGGUAAUUGUUACUAGGAGCUUCACAAAAUCUUGAUCAGUACUGUCAUACUAACAAGCCAUCAACUAAGCGUUUAAUUAAACGUUAAUUUGUGUGUGUGCAUCAUUGCCUCUUUCUUUUUCGCUUAUAAUAAUACACUUUACAAACCACAGUGAUUUAUAGUCGUUUUGCGCUGUUGUCAAUUUACCAGAUAAUUUACCGAUUUAUUUAUAAUGUCUUUCGCCUCGAACAUUCUCGACAUAAAAUUGUACACUACAAAAUCCAAACAUCAACAAUACAAUAAAUAAUUAACAUUUCUAUUUAAAAAAAGUGCAACAGGCAUUAAAAAUUAUAACAUGCUCGAUAAAAUUUUAACAGCACUAAUAAUCUCCCCCUAUUGGUUUAUUUCUCUCUCUUCUAUAUCUAUUAAAUAUUUAUAAAUACAACUUUGAUAUACCAUUUUCUAAAUUGCAUGAAACUUCAAAUAAACUAUUCUUUAUCCGCAACGAAUUGCGCAAGUAUGAAUAUAUCUGUAUAUAUACCUAUGCACGCAGGCAUCUAUAUACAUAUAAACAUACUUUUUGUAUGUAUAAAUGUGUGUAUGUGUGUAUUAGUAAGUUAUGUGUGUUAGUAACUUGUGAUAUUGUUUACGAAUAAUACUAAAUAUAUGUCAAAUGAUAUUAAAUAGAUAUUCACCCAACAUACUCCUAUAUAGUUCAGAUACAUAAUAUUAUAUUUGUUACACAACAAUCAUAAUGCUAUUUGCACUGAAAAUCAAUUGAUGUAACAUACGAUGUGUUCUAACUCUUGUCGUUCUUCUUGUCGGGAACAAAUCAAAUAUACAAUAUCUACAUGCGCGAAAAUGUUGAAAUUUUUCUAACAAACUCAAUAGUAAUAUGUUCGUAUACCACGUCAUUACGUGUACUAUAUACCUAAAUUUUGACAUACUUUCCUAAUAGUGUUCAUAAAUAUUUCACUACUGCUUCCUCUUUUUACAGUUAAUAUAUCAUUUUACUAAUGCCGUAAACACGAAUAUACUCUGUUUAAA